rnacentral:rRNA from 1 species
CAGGUGCCUAUGCGUUGUUCCCCUCGGUUGGAUUGUUCAUCCUUCUUCGCCGGUGGUGUGCUCGUCCGUUGCAGUAGCCUUCGUGUGCUGGAUGAACACUGCCGGUUGAGGUUGGUGCCCUUCUUUACUUGAUUCUUGCUUCUUCCUUCCUUUUCCCUGCGCCCUGGUAACCUCUGUUCUUCCUCUUGUCCCCAUCGUGUGCAAGUUGGUUUCUACCCGUUGUGUCCUGCAUCGACAGUCGCAUCUUUCUGCCAUUGCCAUUGAGGUCUACCUCCGUUUGUCUAGCAGGUUCAACGAUCUGCUAGGUUGCUGCAUCUGCAACUCUGUGCUGCUGUUCAGGGUUUGCUUUAUUCUUUCUUCCCUACAUGCUUGUUCUUUCUCGCUACACACAUGCUUCUCUUUCUCUAAGUACCGUAAUACUGCUGUGCUGUCUCUAGCUACAUGCAUUUACCUUUCUUUGUCGGUCUAAUUGUCUAUUGAUGGGCCAUGGUUAUGUGAACUUUAAGAUGUAAUAAUAUAUGGUGUUUAAAUUUGUAUUGUUCAUUAGCGCCUAUGAUUUUGCGCUAAAGAGUCGUCCGAUAUCCAAGUUUUUAUAUAUUUUUACACCAUUGCAGUCCAUAACUUGCUUCAAUCCUGUUACACAUUGGAUUGAAGAUAGGUCGUCCAUUUUUAUUGACUUUUUUUGUACAUUGUGAAGUCAUGGCCCCAGUUUAUAUUCAUGUUUAGUUUGCUGUGUAGUUCAUGUAUGCUCUGUAAAGAGCAUGUACAGCUAAUGGGUUUAAUUCGUUUGUUCCUUUUUUAGAUGUUCCGUAUCGGUGCAUAAUUCAACUUGAUCCAUACAGUGCCAGUGAUUUUGUAAGAUUUGCCCAUAUCUUUUGAGGAAAUAAUUAUGCUUCAGGAAGAUGCUAAAUAAGCUGGUCAGCUCUGCCUCUGGGGCAAAAGGUCAGCAAAUCUGCUUGGUUGUUCUUCCCAAGGUGAUGAGUAAUUGCUUGUUGCAGAGUACAUGCCUAGAAAGACAUAUCUUCCACUGUGAGUAUGUUAACUGCUUGUGAGCAGGCCACUGUUAACUGCUUGUGAGCAGGCCACUACUUUACAAAGUUUACUACAGCAGCAAGGACGCUAUGCUUUGAUUAGUUGAGCCGUCCUCUGUUAUUUCGUUCAUGGGCAGAGUGGGUGGAGGUGCAGCGCCUCAGCAUGUCAAGGAUAAAGUUUGAUUUUCUCUGUACUACUCCAACUUGGUCCUAUCUCUAACUACAGAAAUUUUAUGUAUCGUUUUAAUUUAGAUUUAUUAUUAUUAGAAUUAGAUGGUGUGCAUUGAAUAUGAAAAUAGGGCCAAGUACUGCUUUGGCGUAUAUCCUAUUGAGUUUUCAUGGGACCUUGAAGCUCACGGUUGAUCUCUUUGUAGCUUAUAAAAGUUAGUUAUAUCAUUUUACUGGAUGUAUAAUCAGAAAGGUGGGCCAACAAACUGUAAUAUGUGACAUAAAAUAUGAUAAUGCAGGCUUCCUUUAUUUUCUUCCAUGGGCAGAGUGGGUGGAGGUACACAGCCUCAAGAUGUCAAGGAAUCUGAUCCUUAUUUGACAGUGAACUUAGAAGGGUUUUCCAUCUUAUAAUAUGAUAAUGCAGGCUUCCUUACCUUGACCAGAAUUUAGCAUUUUGGUAUUGCCUCCUUACCAUGCAAUGUAGGCUUCAGCACCACUUUUUAAAUAUAAGCCAUCAUUUGUGCUGGUCCUUAUCAAGCAGUUCCUUAUCAAAGGGGAUUUUGAUGUUCUCGCUGAAACAGAGGACUUGAAUUGAUGAUUUCUAGGAUUAGUAAACAUUAGCACAAUCCUGAUUAUCCAGUUGAGAAAUCUUAUAUUUUAAUUGCGAAAAGUAAUGUAGGCUGCAAGAGUUGUCUUUUAAGUAAUGCAAAUUCUUCUGUCAGUAGCUAAUGCUGUUUAGAAAUUUUGAUUUCCCAUUUUUUUGUAGCUCUCUUCAUUUUUGUCACUGGUUUACAUUUGUUUUAUAUCUUUCUCAUUCUGUUCAUAGCAUUUUGUCAUGUUUCUUCCUUUCUACAGAGCUAUUUUGAUGUGUCAAGAAUUUUGGCUAAUUGAUGGCUCAAAUGAUUGCAAGCAUAUGAUCUUGUCGGCUUGAGUGAUUGCAGGCAUAUCGACUACAGGAAAACGUAGCACAGAAGAUUCUUCCUUCCCUUUUUUGUUUUGGUGAAAUUGCAGUCAAGCUACUUACAUACGACUCUUAUCAGGGCAUUCGAGAAUUCUCAAAUUGGGUCUGCUUCUGUUUUAGCCUGAUUUAUGUUUCUACUGUAGGUGUUGCUCUAUGGCAGUACAUACUUUUUGCACUAUUGAAGAGAUAAGAACAGCGUGCUACCUAUUUAUGCUUUUAGUAUGGCUUGAUAGACCGAGGACCUAUUGUGGAACUGAUAUUGUUUUUUAAAUGUUGGAACAAAUGAUGGUUUGAUCUGUGUAUUUCUCAACAGGUGGAGAUCGAAUUUAAUAAUAUUGACAUGCCCCGG